rnacentral:rRNA from 1 species
AUUGAACGCUGGCGGCAUGCCUUACACAUGCAAGUCGAACGGUAACAGGUCUUUCGGGAUGCUGACGAGUGGCGAACGGGUGAGUAAUACAUCGGAACGUGCCUAGUAGUGGGGGAUAACUACUCGAAAGAGUGGCUAAUACCGCAUGAGAUCUAUGGAUGAAAGCAGGGGACCUUCGGGCCUUGUGCUACUAGAGCGGCCGAUGGCAGAUUAGGUAGUUGGUGAGAUAAAAGCUUACCAAGCCUACGAUCUGUAGCUGGUCUGAGAGGACGAUCAGCCACACUGGGACUGAGACACGGCCCAGACUCCUACGGGAGGCAGCAGUGGGGAAUUUUGGACAAUGGGGGAAACCCUGAUCCAGCAAUGCCGCGUGCAGGAUGAAGGCCUUCGGGUUGUAAACUGCUUUUGUACGGAACGAAAAGUCUUGGGUUAAUACCCUGGGAUCAUGACGGUACCGUAAGAAUAAGCACCGGCUAACUACGUGCCAGCAGCCGCCGUAAUAC